rnacentral:rRNA from 1 species
UACGGAGGGUGCAAGCGUUAUCCGGAUUCACUGGGUUUAAAGGGUGCGUAGGCGGCCCUGUAAGUCAGUGCUGAAAUAUCCCGGCUUAACCGGGAGGGUGGCAUUGAUACUGCGGGGCUAGAGUACAGAUGAGGUAGGCGGAAUUGACGGUGUAGCGGUGAAAUGCUUAGAUAUCGUCAAGAACACCUAUAGCGAAGGCAGCUUACUAGGCUGUAACUGACGCUGAGGCACGAAAGUGUGGGGAUCAAACAGG